GCUAAACAGAGACUGCAUCAACAUUUACCAAGCGAGACAUACAACAAGACCAGAAGGAAGUGGCAAAGAAAGAGAGAAAGGAUGGUGAGCCACACUGUGUGGGCCCCCUCUGAUGUCAGCAGCCAAUCAUAACCCUGAAACAAGAAGCGCCAAAUGGAAAUCUCCUCCUCAUCAAGAAGGAGAUCAGCAUUCCUCAGCUCCUUUGUGUCCAAGGCUGUUGAAACGGAAUCCAGCUCCUUACCCACUAUAAUGUGGCCCUGAGCCCCAGUGGAAGACGUCGCCAUCACCGAACUCAUCGAUCAAUCAAGGAGAACUCAGGUGGGUUUUGAACAAUCAUUGGGCUGGAAAUAAUCAAACUAAUCUGGCAACACUGCACAGCGCACAAGACUCGUCUCGCAACUGAUUUCAAUACAGCUGAGCUCAUCACAGUGCAUUCUGGGAUUGCCUACCCGGGGAAGGACACAUCCGAUGAUACCUUAAAAUCUGGCCAAAGGUUUUAGGAGGCAGCAUAAUUAAGAUACCUACCUUUUGGAACAGACUUCGCGUCAGAAGCACACCUAUGAUGUCUUAAAAUGCUGCCUACGGAGGACACUCACUAGGUUUUGGAACAGACCCACAGUUCUCAUUUUGUGUUUUAAGAGUAUGUCUACCAAUUUGCUUAUACAAGUGUGUGAGAGUCGUAAAACAUAUUAAGGGCCGAGACUAUGUGUGUAUGCAUAUGUAUGCGUGCACUAGAGCACGCGAGAGCCAUGACUAAGACAGAUAUCUACAGCAGUGUACUAAGAUACAACGACUGAUUCAACAUCUGGCAGCUAUCAAAGCUAGUGGAAGAAGUGUGUGUGUGUGUGUGUGUGUGUGCGUACGUGUGUGUGUGUGUGAGGGAUCAACAGUGUGUUGUGGGGGUGUUGUUUCAGAAUGUAAGUCUGCAGAGAGCGGUGUGAACUCAAAGUGUGUGAGUUUACCGGCACUCAGAGAUGUCUGAUUGCAUCUCGUUUAGAUAUAGCAAAACACAACACAACACUUAUGUUAAUUAAUGAAGGAGUGUGUGAUCCAGAGAGCACUGUUCAUGAUUAUGAGUUUGUGCAUGUAUGCGGUUGUGUAUGUGUGAUUAAUCAAAGACUAUGUUUCAAAGAGUGCUCUCCUUACAUCAGAUUGAGACUAAAUGGUUUCAUCAACAAAGCCAUUACCACUAGGGCUGUGUGAGGCAAGACACACCGAGAGUUCUAACAACAAACAAGGAUUAACAUAGAUCACUGCA